GGUGGCUCAGUGGUAGAGCGCUUGCCAUGUAUGCAUGAGGCCCUGGGUUCAAUUCCUCAGCACCA
rnacentral:tRNA from 1 species